AAUACGGUAGUGAACAGGCCCCAUAUUUUGGGCAGAACUACGGCAUGACAGGAUUUCAAAAUCAAGAUCCGACUUCAGAAGAAGUCGGUGGUGAACAGGCCCCAGAUGUAGGACAGAACUACGGCAUGACAGGACCUGGAGAUCAGGAUCCAACUUCAAAAGAUGGGGAUGUGAAUGGAGAAGGAGACACAGAUGUUGACCCGAACUACCAGAUGGCGGAAACUCAAGAUCAGGAUCUAACUUUAAAAG